GAGGAUUAGGGUUGUACACAGGAAGAUAAACAUCAAUACAGAUUGCCGGCGAGAGAUCUCGCCGGACUUCUAGUUCGAUUGUCUACUCUGUGUUCUAAUACGUUAUCAGCCACGUUUGUUCUCCAAAGGGCUAAUUGGCCACAAGGACUUGCCUUGGAAGAACAGUUCUAAGGCCAUUUCAAACGGGGCCAGCCAAACUCAACACCAGGCCAAACAGCAAGGCCAAAACAACAACAAUGAAGCCAUGCACUAAUCUUCCUUGGCAUUGCUUGCUGAAUGGCAUCCGCAUCCCUCUCCAGAAGAGAACAUCACUACAUCGGGCAGCAUACUAGUAAGUAGUUCAUAGUUACAUCCAUAGAACAUUGCCACAAAGAAAAUAAAUGCCAAGUAGCUUGUUUGAGAAACCACAUCGCUCCAGGGUAAACCUUUCAGAAAGCAAUAACAGGCUGUUCAGAAAGCAAUAUACAGUCAUCAGUACUUUCAGAAGGUAGAAAAACAUGUAAACAGAAAGAAACCAAGGCUGAACGCAGUCUCCAUGACAUGUUAUUACUAGAUGGUAGGCAAAUCGUGCCCCCACCGCGUGCUAUUCCUUCAGACAGAAUGUGAUAUUCGGUAAACCUGGACGUGCUAGCCGUAUAAACAAGAUGGUAUUACUGGCCAGACUAGACUA